rnacentral:rRNA from 1 species
CGUGUUUAUAAAUCCUUAUCCUCCCUCAUGGAUAAAUACUUGUUCUUUUUCCGAUGGGCCUUAUUAUACGGGUCUUUUGCUUUCCCUUCAAUAAGGAUGUCCUAUCCCCUCUUUCUUUUUGCUAAGGUAGCUUAGCUUCUCCCUUUUUCCUUUCCAUUUUGCUCGCCUCCUGUGGGAAGAGCGGCGACAGGAGCGCGAUCACGACAGGAGCACGAGACACGGUGACACGCCGCGCCGCCGGAGCACGCUCUGGGCCGCCGUUCCUUCGCUCCCGCACGUCGGUUCCUGCGCCCGCGCCGCUCAAGCCGCCGGCGGCUGAUGCACGACCAGACGUCCUAUGUCGGUCCAAAACCCUCACAGAUAAUAGAGAGUCCUAACGGACUUUAUACCGUAGAGGUCCACUUUACUGUCCUCGGUCAUACGACGCGGAAGUCACAAAAGGAUCAUUAUACCAUUUUGUUUCAGGACCAAAGUAGAGACGUUCUUUAGUAACCGACUCUUCCAGUGCUUACCAAGCUGUGACGAACCUGGAUGCCGUAGAAACGUCCGAUGGAUUUGUCUCUCCAUGACAAGGUUUAUUCGCUGGUUCCGUACGAGGAUCACGAAGUCAUAUAUCCCCGCAAUAAUCGGGUAACGAUCUCCUUAGCCAACUACUCCGCCUCAGUUCUAGUUCCUAAUAAGUGAAAAUGGCAUUUGGUGAUGAAGUUCUGUUACUCUGACUCCUCAAUGAGUUCUUUCAAGUCCGUUUUCAAAGAACAUUAUAAUAACUGUAUGUCUGACUCGUUACAAAAUUACACCUUAACCUCUUCCGUGAUCGCAGACUAUUCGAACGUUGUGAAGUCACCGAGGAACGUCUUUGAAUACUUGGAAUAUUGAAUGUUUGUUCCUCGAAAGAACUCCUCCUUUAGUCAUCGUCGGGAAUAAGACAGGAACAACUCCAACCUGGUGCCUACUGUAAAAGUUGACGAAAGAGUUGGUUACGGCAGAGUUAAACAUUUCGAGAUAGUAAUUAUCUUCAUUGAGCGAACCUCUCUAGAGCUUCUAUAGAAAACGUGAAAGUCGGACCGUCACCUCUUGAACUACUUUCGGUUGAGUUGUCGAAACGACGAAACCAAGUACUGUCUUACUGUCUUACACAAAUAGGAUCGUUCGAGUGUAGUAAAACCAGCCUACAUCAAGGUCUUGGACAGUCACAAUAUGGUCAGUAACUUUCCCCUUCCCUUCGUAACCUCCUUUAUUUAUACUUUUACCCCGAACGAAAACUACUCGUUCUAUAAUUUAUGAUGUGGGUGGAGAAGUCUCUGCUGUAGUUCGCGUUAGGUUGAUGACACCUCGAAAAACUAUAUCGCGUUAGGUUAUCACUUGUGUCGUCCGUAACCAAAAAGUUGCCUUUCGAACACUAUCUACCUCUCUGGUACCGAUCAUGAAACAAGGUCAAUCACUUCUCGGGGAACUUCCGGUUGGGAUUAUUGAGACAUUAACCAAAGUUCCUGUUGAGUUCACGUUAUUUUCCUGUGGGUCAUUUAGUAGAUGCAGGUAGUGAAGGACCAAGGUGAAGUGGCAAUAGGGAGUACUACGCACUCGAACUGUAAGACAAGUGUCGUCUUUGGGUAUUAAAAGGUACACGACACCGUGGAAUGGGUCCUCGACUUUGUCCACGUCCACCGGCGUAUUCCCUGUGUGUACGGUGACCUUCUCCAAGAAAACAGCAACGAAGGUGACGACCAAUAACACAACCUUUAGAAGCUUACCUUCUUAAAAUACGUGGAACCCUCCUAAGUAGGAAAAGUAUGGGUAGCUUGAAUCGAAGAGGAAACGUCUAGGAAUAACUACGGUCACUACCACGAAGACUGAUACCAUUGUUCAAACCACUCGGAUACUAAGUCCCUAAAUGUUCUUCGAAACCAUGUUCCAACGGUUUACCCCUCGCAGCUCUCACCAAUUUCGGUUAUUACAAGUCACCUCGUUAUCCGGUCUAACUAGUACGUGUAUAUCUAUUCCCCCUAGGUCUUUAACCGUACGAUCAACACUUCUAACCACCAGGUCGUAUAUCUUAACCAUACCCACCACCACGACGGAGUUCAUACCAAUCACCUGUCUUACUGCGUCUCGAACUAAAGUUACGUCACGUCGCGCCUCUACGACUCUACAGUGUCUUUGACAUAGCACAACAGUCCCGUACACAUCUUUACCCUCUCUUCUUGGGUUAAUAGUCGUAAGUACUGGUCCCACGACCACCUUUAACGUUACAACACUUUCUUUAUUAGAUAGGAUUCCCACGACUUUAACUAUAGGCAUUUUAAUAGCAACCACUAGUAUGUAACAGACACAACCUCUAGACCCCACGACUUAUGGUCCUUGUUCUACGUAACAACCACUUCGGACUCUCGUCUUCGGACAACCUCAGUGAAACACUCUCUCUUUCUCAAAGUCACCGACAGGAACCCCUUUAACUACCGUCACCUUUCUAACAAAACUAGCUAUCACGACGGCACCUCAUACGGUUCAACUUACUGGAAGGGGGAGGGCAGGGGCAACAACUAGAAGUCGAACUUUUCCAAAAUCCUCUAUACGGAGUCUUCUGUAAACUUAAAUUCUCUUAAAGAGCUAACCCACUCGGGAAUCUAUAACGUGGACUCCAGUGCGAUUACCUAUAAGAAUUCGCUCAUAACUUCGACGGAAGACAUACAAGUUUCGCAAAGAACUGGUGUUUCCAACUGUCCACACACUGUCCAGAACAACGUGUUGUCGUCUGUCAACCAGGAGAAGUUGAAGGUGAACGGCUACAGCGACACUAACGUGUCUGUAUGUGUCUAGACUGUCCACCACGAACGCGGUAACCUCUUGUUGGUUACUUCCCAAAUGAAUUAGGAUUCCGGUACCGUUCCGAACGACAACCCCUCCGGAACUGGUUAGACCAAACCCGAUUUCAAUGUAGUGAACGACUACAGUUUCGUUCACCAUUGACCUACAUACGACGUUUCGAACUACCUCUUCCUCGUCUAUACAUACUACGGCGACAACGCAACCGACUGACGUACUAACUUGAACCAUAACGUUAACUACCACCUUUUCUGUCGGAAAGAUACCGUCGAGUUACACUGCUAAAUUUCGACCCUUUCCUACCACAGAACAAUGUAUAACUGGACCGAUUUCCUUUUGCCGCCGAACCAACAAGACGAGAGUGUGUUCGCAAACUGGUUUAACCUUUACUGACGGGUCUGUAUCUUCUACAAGGAAUGAACUUCUUUCAUAAACUCCGACAAGUCCUUAACGAACCACUUGCAGAAUAAAGCCGGCCAGUACUGUAAUCACUACCACCCGAAUAACAAUGAUAAGAACUCUACCGUAAACGACCGUUGACACCACAAUUGGAGUUGUAACUGAGUUUUCUGUCACCGGAAGAUGUUCGUGAAAAACGGCUCCUCGAACCAGAACAGUAACUUCAAGUGAGUUUACUGGAACGACGACAUUUCUUUUUCGAAGUUCGUCGUCCGCAGAGACAAUUGCAUUAUCCUCUUCAUUUAUGUUGUGGUCUCUAUCUCGACCAACAACUACUACUCUACACGGACUUACUUUCGCAAAGUCUGGAGUCCCUAAACACCCUUCUUUGCUCGAAGGUCGAACUCCUCGAUGUUGCCGACUUCAGAACACAGUUCGAACUCUUUCUUCCGAAUUUUUCGGCUUGUAGAGGAAACACCGUAGACAGAAAGUGGGGGUUGAAGUGUCUGUUCCUCGUUAACUGACGCAGUAGAUUUGGCUUUCAACGGUAGUAAGCGCUUCUUCCCUCGUUGUCACUAUCCCUUUACCGACGACGUAAGGUACGACGACCUAAACUUGGUACCCUGUAAAGUUACAGUCUGGAGAACUUAGUCUUCCGGAGAGAUCACCUUAAGGCACCCUAACGUAAACAACCGCCAAAAUCGAUACGACUGCAAGAUCUAAGCCGUUUUCCGACCCGUCGAAGAUAGUCCAAGUUGGUCGGAGAGUAUGUCGUCAAGGUCCUCAAGAUGUUGUCCGGUCUGUGUAAGUCGGAACCUCACACGUUGCCGACAGUCGAGUACCGGGAAGAGCCAACCCACGGUCCUGGUCCAUAGCCUCCAAGAGAACCAGGUCCACCUCUGUACCGGGUCGGUUCCAAGUAAGUGUUACUUAGACCGGCAAAACUCACGGCGAAAUGGUCACACCGGUAUCCCCUUAGAGGACGAUAUUACAAGUCUCCGUACCUUCCGAGAUGGAACCCGUAAACCUGACGAGUACCACUUCCCUCUCGGAACAAGGGUCUAUUUUUACAAAAUAGACCACAACAAUUGAGAUUAGACCGAGGAGACUCUAUAACACUACUGUGAUUGUUACGGUGGCUUCAGAUAGGAAAAUUGGGAUUACCAAGAGGAGAACCAUAGCGCCGGGAAACAAGGGGAUUACCUUCCGUGGAACGAUACUACGGUGUGGGUCUCGCAAGGAAGUACUACACCGUUAUGGGUACCAUGGGGUUCCUUACCGUCCAACUCUUCCCACCAGGCUCAGGAACCAACGCGUACAAGGUCUUACGUGCUCUUACCACAAGUAUCUCGUCCAAGUUGGUACUUCUUACCGAGGACCGACUCCUCUCCUCUGUGACUACCCUUACGAUACGGGGGAUCAAUAAACAACCACUGCGAAGUUGAUAACGCCAGGAACCUUACCCUUUGUCCCGUAUUUUCUCCCAACUAACUUCGCUCAUGUCUUACUAAUACGACGGGUCGUAUAACCGACAGUCUUGAAAAGACGAGGAGAACAAAAGUGGUCGUCGGUAAACCCACAAAAUAAAAAUGUACUAUGACUAGACUGAGUUGCCAGUGGGAUGGUAAUAUCGUUUAGUAAGAAAACCGCAUUAAAGACAUCUGUAAAGAGCGUCGUUCAUUUAAUCAGUAGAAAACUGAGGCCUGAAUGCUUUAUGACAUGGAUGGAUUCAGGGUUUUGGAAAAACUUUGUUCAUUAAAGCCGCAUAAAAGUCAAAGAUUGUGAAAAUCCAGUAAUUAGUACAUGCAUGAUAGGUUGUUAGAGUGGGGAUCAUUCUUCAACUUCGACCUUGACCCAGUGGUCUAUGCGGUAAGUCAACACACAUUGUACCGAAACGAAC